UACGAGGGGUGCAAGCGUUGCUCGGAAUUAUUGGGCGUAAAGGGUAGGUAGGUGGUCUCAUUUGUCUGGGGUGAAAGCCUCGAGCUUAACUCGAGAAGUGCCCCAGAAACGGUGAGACUUGAGUCUUGGAGAGGGUUGCGGAAUUCCCGGUGUAGCGGUGAAAUGCGUAGAGAUCGGGAGGAACACCAGAGGCGAAGGCGGCAACCUGGACAAGCACUGACGCUGAGGCACGAAAGCGUGGGGAGCAAACAGG
rnacentral:rRNA from 1 species